rnacentral:rRNA from 1 species
GUCUUUGGCGUCCGAGUUGUAAUUUGCAGAGGGCGCUUUGGCAUUGGCAGCGGUCCAAGUUCCUUGGAACAGGACGUCACAGAGGGUGAGAAUCCCGUACGUGGUCGCUAGCCUUUACCGUGUAAAGCCCCUUCGACGAGUCGAGUUGUUUGGGAAUGCAGCUCUAAAUGGGAGGUAAAUUUCUUCUAAAGCUAAAUACUGGCCAGAGACCGAUAGCGCACAAGUAGAGUGAUCGAAAGAUGAAAAGCACUUUGGAAAGAGAGUUAAAAAGCACGUGAAAUUGUUGAAAGGGAAGCGCUUGCAGCCAGACUUGCCUGUAGUUGCUCAUCCGGGUUUUUACCCGGUGCACUCUUCUGCGGGCAGGCCAGCAUCAGUUUGGGCGGUUGGAUAAAGGUCUCUGUCAUGUACCUCUCUUCGGGGAGAACUUAUAGGGGAGACGACAUGCAACCAGCCUGGACUGAGGUCCGCGCAUCUGCUAGGAUGCUGGCGUAAUGGCUGUAAGCGGCCCGUCUUGAAACACGGACCAAGGAGUCUAACAUCUAUGCGAGUGUUUGGGUGUCAAGCCCGAGCGCGUAAUGAAAGUGAACGGAGGUGGGAACCCCUCGGGGUGCACCAUCGACCGAUCCUGAUGUCUUCGGAUGGAUUUGAGUAAGAGCAUAGCUGUUGGGACCCGAAAGAUGGUGAACUAUGCUUGAAUAGGGUGAAGCCAGAGGAAACUCUGGUGGAGGCUCGCAGCGGUUCUGACGUGCAAAUCGAUCGUCAAAUUUGGGCAUAGGGGCGAAAGAC